UUAGUGGCGAACGGGUGAGUAACACGUGAGUAACCUGCCCCUUACUUUCUGGAUAACUGCUCGAAAGGGUAGCUAAUACGGGAUAUUCUGGCCUUCCUGCAUGGGUUGGUUUGGAAAGGUUUUUUCUGGUGAGGGAUGGGCUCGCGGCCUAUCAGCUUGUUGGUGGGGUGAUGGCCUACCAAGGCUUUGACGGGUAGCCGGCCUGAGAGGGUGGACGGUCACACUGGGACUGAGAUACGGCCCAGACUCC
rnacentral:rRNA from 1 species